rnacentral:ncRNA from 1 species
UAGUUUUGCCACCUUAAAUUAUCAUACAUAAUAAACAUUUAAAACAAUUUUGGCAUG